rnacentral:rRNA from 1 species
GACGAACGCUGGCGGCGUGCUUAACACAUGCAAGUCGAACGGAAAGGCCCUGCUUUUGUGGGGUGCUCGAGUGGCGAACGGGUGAGUAACACGUGAGUAACCUGCCCUUGACUUUGGGAUAACUUCAGGAAACUGGGGCUAAUACCGGAUAGGAGCUCCUGCUGCAUGGUGGGGGUUGGAAAGUUUCGGCGAUUGGGGAUGGACUCGCGGCUUAUCAGCUUGUUGGUGGGGUAGUGGCUUACCAAGGCUUUGACGGGUAGCGGCACUGGGAGGGUGACCGGCAACAUUGGGACGGAGAUACGGCCCAGCCUCCUAGGGGAGGCAACAGAGAGGAAUUGUGCACAGUGGGAGGAAGCCUGAUGCAGCACCGCGACGUGGGGGAUGACGGCCAUCGAGUUGUAACCCACUUUCGCCUUUGACGAAGAGUGAGUGACGGUAAUGGGUAAGAAAGCACCGGCUAACUACGUG